rnacentral:rRNA from 1 species
GAUGAACGCUAGCUACAGGCUUAACACAUGCAAGUCGAGGGGUAACGAGAGGGAAGCUUGCUUUCCUUGUCGACGACCGGCGCACGGGUGAGUAACGCGUAUCCAACCUGCCCCCAACUAAGGAAUAACCUUGCGAAAGUAAGACUAAUACCUUAUAAUUUCCUCAGAUGACAUCUGACGAGGAAUAAAGGUUUAUCGGUUGUGGAUGGGGAUGCGUCUGAUUAGCUUGUUGGCGGGGUAACGGCCCACCAAGGCAACGAUCAGUAGGGGUUCUGAGAGGAAGGUCCCCCACAUUGGAACUGAGACACGGUCCAAACUCCUACGGGAGGCAGCAGUGAGGAAUAUUGGUCAAUGGGCGGAAACCUGAACCAGCCAAGUAGCGUGCAGGAUGACGGCCCUAUGGGUUGUAAACUGCUUUUAUACAGGAAUAAAGUUAGCCACGUGUGGUUAUUUGUAGGUACUGUAUGAAUAAGGACCGGCUAAUUCCGUGCCAGCCGCCGCAGUAA